CCCCGUGCUCGGGGCCGCGCCGGCGGCGGGCUGGGAGAGCGCUGAGGUCGCUUGUAUGCGCCGGGCUUCUAUGUCGUUCGUUCCCCCUGGCUCGCCCCUCCACCCCGAUAUCUUCUACCACCACCCCUUGGUGAGGAGUAAGUGCCACUGCUCCGCCUUCUCCUUUUCGCAAUGUUGACGCAAUCUAUAAAUAGUGGAACAAAAGGACCAACUUCCUCGCAGCUUUGCUGAAACUGCACAAAAAAGGCAACCGGGGAGGGGACACACACGGUUAUUUUUGAUUUUAUUUUUCUCCGGUUAAGAGGCGAAUCCUCCUUCUCCCUUCCCCCUCCUUCCCACCCACCCCCCUGCUACUGGAAGAUUUUUAAUUUAUUUUUUUUUUCCUCGCUGUCUCCUAUGCUGGCAGCGUCCUGCGAGUGGCUAUUUUGCUUUUGCACCGAGAGAAGGGCUUCCCCUCUCCUCCUCUUCUGACACUUAUGGAUGUAAUCCAUGCACUGAAGUCUAACCUGUAAUGAAAGCCAAUGUUUCGACCUUUCAAUAGAGAACUGAUUUUGGAGAACGGCUUACUCCUGUGAUUGCAAAACCUCUCUCUGGAAGGUUGAUGGAGCAGGAGCAUGGGUAGUUAAGACCUACGAAAAUUAUCACUGGAGA